AUGGAGCUUGUAGUCUCUAACAUUAUAGCAAAGCUAGAUUGUGCAAUGUUUCAGACUUUGAGUUCCUUAGUCGGCCAUUAAUUGCGAUAGAGGCCCACACAUUCACCUACCCAUCUAACACACUUCCAUUUUUCACUCCCAAAUUUCUCUCUCUUGUUUUUGUUUUUUUUUAUAUAUAUAUGUUUUUUCUACUUUCCCCAGCAUAUACCCUUUUGCCCCUUUUGUUCCAUCAAUACCUUUGAUGACUCAGAAACACACCACCUAAAGACCCGUUCAAUUGCUCUUAAGAAAGCUUUUUCUUGAUAGGCUCUGCGUUGUUCAAAGACUAUUACUACAUGUUACCUUAUUUAAUUUUGCUCACUAGCCACAUACAUAAUCAAAAUCUAAAUGCACAUGACUCAGUCCCUGCAUUUAUUUCCUCGUGUUUCCACAUUCCGUCAUUGUUUUAUACCUCAAUUUCAUCUCACGUUCACAGGCUUCAUUCACACCCCAAACAUUGCAUUUUCAUUUAUAUAUACAUACCUGAUAUCCAUUAAUCGAAGAUAAAGUUUUGGAAACAGAGGGCUUGACAAAACCCCCUUCUCUCUUCCUCGAUUUUGCUUCAUCUUGUAUUCUAUAUAGGCUUUUUGAACUGCCUGGUGGAAAUGGGCAAAAGACAUGAUCAUCAAAUACUACUUGUAGUGGCGCUGCGGUUACUCCUGCUGCUCAUCUUUCUGGUCGGCCAUACUCAGAGCUCAAGAACAUUGCAGAGUCAAGUUUUCAAGGUAAUGAAGCCCAACUCUGAUCACAAUCCACAUGAGGGUAGCUUUUUUGCAUUCUUACCAAAAGCUUCGCCAAUCCCUCCAUCUGGACCUUCCAAGGAGCACAAUGGUGUUGGGUUACAAAGCUCAUCACAGCUCUCACCUUGAAGACACACAUAUAUAUAUAUAUAUAAUAUAUAAUCUUUCUACAGACAAAGGUAGAUGUUGCUGCUCAUAUUUCUUCUUCAACUCACAGAACCAAUAUUGGUCAUGGGCAAUGUACAUGGGGUUGAUGGAUAUAUAUAUCUCUCCAUAAUUUUUGUUAUUUUUGUUUGUUGCAGCUUAAUUUUAUGAGAAGCUAUUAUAAUUAGCAUGGCAAGUUUCAAUGUUUCUGGGUAUGGAUUUGUCUCCUUCUUGGAAGAGCAAGAGUAAAUUUUCAUCCAGCUGAUGAUGAACAGGAAGUUUUGUAAGGAAAAAAAGAACCAAAAAAAUAGGCCAUUAAUUCAAAUUUAACAAGUUUGAAUUUGUGUCUUCUUCCACAAGUUUGAUGCAGAAAAAGUAAAGAUUA